rnacentral:lncRNA from 1 species
GUCUUUCAAUAAAGAGUUUUCUUUCUGGUUUGUGUUUCUAUGUAAAUGAAUACCUUUGCCUUUAAUAAAGGAUUUAAAGUUCCAAAUGGGUUGGUUUUGGGCUUUUAUGAAGAUGUUGGAAUUUUUCUGUAUUUUUUUUAUAGCAUUUCAUAUCUUUCCAGUAUUUUCAUGUGUUCUUCUUUGAGGAUUUCAAGGUCUAGAAAUUAUAUGGAAUGAUUUUUGCAUUCCUUAGUAAAC